rnacentral:lncRNA from 1 species
UCAGUGAAAUAAAAUAUGGAAAAAUAAAAAUCAGAUGAAGAAAAAUAAAAGAGAAUUUUAGAAAUUAUUAUGGAAUUUUUUGGAUAAAAAAUGAAAUUAUUGAUAAAAAAGAAAUUAAAAAUAAUAAAAGAAAUGUAAUUAAAAUCAGAAAAAACACUAAGCGUUGGAUCACGCCUCAUUACUUGACGUGGCAGAUCCAACACUCCAAAUGUUAGAGAACACGGUGGAACACGCUGCAAGCCAAACAUAGGAUCCAGUUUAAAUUCAACUAAUCAAAACAUUUCAUUCUUCCAACUGUCUUAUCAAACUCAGACAACCUGAGAAAUCUCCGGUCAUCUUCUCUAGUGAGCUCUCACCAGAGUUUCAUUGUUUAGUAAAUUCAAGAUACGAGACCACC